AUCUAAAAGAUAGAGAGUAAAUUUAGAGCGAACAAUAAAGUUACUCCAUGGAAAUCUGGGACUCGAGCCCUGAAAACAUCCCUUUGCAGAAUAGAUAGAGUAAUACAUAGAGGCAAAGCCGCGUCCAUCAACUCCCCCCCAAAUCCACAAGUGUGGAAUAUUUAUUUCGCAUAUUGAGUGACUUUUUUAAAGGUAUGACAGAACCAAAUAAAGAAAUAGAAAUUACUUGCUUAUCAUUUUAAAGUGGAAACAUUACAAAGCUGAUUACACAUACCCAACAUGACCCGAACAAUAUAUAUAGCUUCUUUGAUCCUUGUACCCUUCUGGCAUAUACACACCAAAAACAAGUUCAUACACAAGGAAAUCUAAAAUAAUCACGUUACUUACAGAGCAAAGCAAGAUGAACGUUAUAUCUCAAACAUGUUCACGUAAUGUUUCCUCAUUAUACCAACUCCACAACA
rnacentral:misc_RNA from 1 species